GAAGGUACAGCUCAAGUGGUAGAGUGCAUGCUUAGCAUGCGUGAGGUCCUGGGUUCAAUCCCCAGCACUUCCU
rfam:Camelus ferus unplaced genomic scaffold scaffold518, whole genome shotgun sequence.